AUUGAACGCUGGCGGCAGGCCUAACACAUGCAAGUCGAGCGGCAGCGGAAAGUAGCUUGCUACUUUGCCGGCGAGCGGCGGACGGGUGAGUAAUGUCUGGGAAACUGCCUGAUGGAGGGGGAUAACUACUGGAAACGGUGGCUAAUACCGCAUAACGUCGCAAGACCAAAGUGGGGGACCUUCGGGCCUCACGCCAUCGGAUGUGCCCAGAUGGGAUUAGCUAGUAGGUGGGGUAAUGGCUCACCUAGGCGACGAUCCCUAGCUGGUCUGAGAGGAUGACCAGCCACACUGGAACUGAGACACGGUCCAGACUCCUACGGGAGGCAGCAGUGGGGAAUAUUGCACAAUGGGCGCAAGCCUGAUGCAGCCAUGCCGCGUGUGUGAAGAAGGCCUUCGGGUUGUAAAGCACUUUCAGCGAGGAGGAAGGCGUCAUACUUAAUACGUGUGGUGAUUGACGUUACUCGCAGAAGAAGCACCGGCUAACUCCGUGCCAGCCGCCGCAGUAACAC
rnacentral:rRNA from 1 species